ACGAAGGUGGCAAGCGUUGUUCGGAUUUACUGGGCGUACAGGGAGCGUAGGCGGUUGGGUAAGCCCUUCGUGAAAUCUCCGGGCCUAACCCGGAAAGUGCGGAGGGGACUGCUCGGCUAGAGGAUGGGAGAGGAGCGCGGAAUUCCCGGUGUAGCGGUGAAAUGCGUAGAUAUCUGGAGGAACACCGGUGGCGAAGGCGGCGUCCUGGACCAAUACUGACACUGAUGAGCGAAAGCCAGGGGAGCAAACGGGA
rnacentral:rRNA from 1 species